UCUGCUAAUGUGAUCCUUUGAAUAAGGAUUGUUCAUAUGACUCUGCACUGAGCCAGUGGAGCUCAGUGGAUGGGAACAAUGCUGUCUGUAGCUGCUGUG